rnacentral:lncRNA from 1 species
GGCUAGGCCUCCCGCUUUUCUGUAGAUACCACGGCAGGGGCUUGGACUCUGGUUUACACCAGUUCAGAUCUAUGCAAUGUUUGUCGCGUUGCUCGCCACUCUAGACUCCACAAGCAUAGAGCAUGGUCGUACAACAUCUAUAUUUUAAAGAAUCAGGGUUUAACUGUCAGGAGCCUGCACUGCAAAUCUGGGGCUCUGACUUGUGGCUUUGCUGUCUCCUCCACAUUCACAUUUAUACAUCAGCACCCAACGGACCUCCUUCCCCGACCCUGGUCGGCCCACUGAGGAUGCCUUCUGAGAGGCCAUGCUUCCCCCAGAGAACGACUCAGAUGUUCAAGCAGGGUCCUCGGUGGUAAAACACGGGUAUCGCUUUCACUUCUACAGAAAAAGAAAAAAAGAACUGCAUGAUUAUAAUAUAUUGCAAGACUCAGGCAAUGCCAAACAACAACAACAAAACCAC